rnacentral:rRNA from 1 species
CAGCCGCCGCGGUAAUACGGAGGGUGCAAGCGUUAUCCGGAAUCAUUGGGUUUAAAGGGUCCGCAGGCGGACUUAUAAGUCAGUGGUGAAAGCCUACAGCUUAACUGUAGAACUGCCAUUGAUACUGUAAGUCUUGAAUUCGGUCGAAGUGGGCGGAAUGUGACAUGUAGCGGUGAAAUGCUUAGAUAUGUCACAGAACACCGAUAGCGAAGGCAGCUCACUAGGCCUGAAUUGACGCUCAUGGACGAAAGCGUGGGGAGCAAACAGGAUUAGAUACCCUGGUAGUCCACGCCGUAAACUAUCAAUACUCGUUUUCAGCGAUAUACAGUUGGAGACUAAGCGAAAGUGAUAAGUAUUGCACCUGGGGAGUACGAUCGCAAGGUUGAAACUCAAAUGAAUUGACGG